rnacentral:rRNA from 1 species
CCUACGGGAGGCAGCAGUGAGGAAUAUUGGUCAAUGGGCGGGAGCCUGAACCAGCCAAGUCGCGUGAGGGACGACGGUCCUAUGGAUUGUAAACCUCUUUUGUCGGGGAACAAAGGCGCCCACGGGUGGGCGGAUGAGUGUACCCGAAGAAAAAGCAUCGGCUAACUCCGUGCCAGCAGCCGCGGGAAUACGGAGGAUGCGAGCGUUAUACGGAUUUAUUGGGUUUAAAGGGUGCGUAGGCGGACAGUCAAGUCAGCGGUAAAAAUGCGGUGCUCAACGCCGUACAGCCGUUGAAACUGAUGUUCUUGAGUGGGCGAGAAGUAUGCGGAAUGCGUGGUGGAGCGGUGCAAUGCAUAGAUAUCACGCAGAACUCCGAGUGCGAAGGCAGCAUACCGGCGCCCAACUGACGCUGAAGCACGAAAGCGUGGGUAUCGAACAGGAUUAGAUACACGGGUAGUC